rnacentral:rRNA from 1 species
AACGAACGCUGGCGGCAGGCCUAACACAUGCAAGUCGAGCGGGGACUUCGGUCCUAGCGGCGGACGGGUGAGUAACGCGUGGGAACGUGCCCUUUGCUUCGGAAUAGCCCCUGGAAACGGGAGUAAUACCGGAUGUGCUCGAGAGAGGAAAGAUUUUUCGGCAAAGGAUCGGCCCGCGUUGGAUUAGGUAGUUGGUGGGGUAAUGGCCUACCAAGCCGACGAUCCAUAGCUGGUUUGAGAGGAUGAUCAGCCACACUGGGACUGAGACACGGCCCAGACUCCUACGGGAGGCAGCAGUGGGGAAUAUUGGACAAUAGGGGGCAACCCUGGAUCCAGCCAUGCCGCGUGAGUGAAGAAGGCCU